UAAAGAUUUUAAGGGCGUACGGUGGAUGCCUUGGCGAUAUCAGCCGAAGAAGGACGCGGUAAGCUGCGAUAAGCUACGGAGAGGUGCAAGCAACCUGUGACCCGUAGAUUUCCGAAUGGGGGAACCCGGCAGUGGUUAUGCACUGUCACCCAUAGCUUAGACUAUGAGGAGGGCACCUGGGGAACUGAAACAUCUAAUUACCCAGAGGAACAGUAAUCAAACGAGAUUUUCUUAGUAGCGGCGAGCGAACGGGAAAGAGGCCAAACCGGAGCGGGCAACCGCACCGGGGUUGAGGACAGUCAUCAAGUGUAAAUGAGGUAGAAGAAUCGAGCUGGAAAGCUCAGCCGCAGAAGGUGAAAGCCCUGUAAUCGAAACCUUGCAUACACGGGACUGUAUCCAGAGUACCACGAGACACGUGAAACCUUGUGGGAAGCAGGGGGGACCACCCUCCAAGCCAAAAUACUGAUAUCGACCGAUAGCGCAUAGUACCGUGAGGGAAAGGUGAAAAGAACCCCUGGCGGGGAGUGAAAGAGAACCUGAAACCGUAUGUCUACAAACAGUCGAAGUCUGUAUAUAUAUCAGGACGACGGCGUGCCUAUUGAAGAAUGAACCGACGAGUUACUGUUGCUAGCGAGGUUAAGUGGAAAACAUGGAGCCGCAGCGAAAGCGAGUCUGAACAGGGCGUAUAGUUAGUAAUAGUAGACCCGAAACCGUAGUGAUCUAUCCAUGGCCAGGUUGAAGCACAGGUAAAAUUGUGUGGAGGACCGAACUCGUGAGCGUUGAAAAGCUUUGGGAUGAGUUGUGGAUAGGGGUGAAAUGCCAAUCGAACACGGAGAUAGCUGGUUCUCCCCGAAAUAGCUUUAGGGCUAGCGUCGAGGUAAAGUCGUGUGAAGGUAGAGCACUGAAUAUGUGAUGGCCCCAUCUCGGGGUACUGAACAUAAUCAAACUCCGAAUGUCACAAAGAUAUACUCGGCAGUCAGACAGUGGGUGAUAAGGUCCAUUGUCAAAAGGGAAACAGCCCAGACCAUCAGCUAAGGUCCCAAAAUAUAUACUAAGUGGAAAAGGAUGUGGAGAUGUCCAGACAACUAGGAGGUUGGCUCAGAAGCAGCCAUCCUUUAAAGAGUGCGUAACAGCUCACUAGUCGAAUGACUCUGCGCCGAUAAUUUACCGGGGCUAAGUAUAUUACCGAAGCUAUGGAUUUACGCGUAAGCGUGAGUGGUAGGGGAGCGUUCUAUGUGCGGAGAAGCGGUACCGUAAGGAGCCGUGGAGCGCAUAGAAGAGAGAAUGCCGGUGUGAGUAGCGAAACGUGGGUGAGAAUCCCACGCACCGAAAACCCAAGGUUUCCAGAGGAAGGUUCGUCCGCUCUGGGUAAGUCGGGACCUAAGGCGAGGCCGAGAGGCGUAGUCGAUGGACAACAGGUAGAGAUUCCUGUACUUACGGUAUGAAUGAUGGAGUGACGGAGAAGGCUAGCGGAUCCUGCUGAUGGAAAUGCAGGUGCAAGCGAGGUAGCCGACAGCCAGGCAAAUCCGGCUGUCGAAAGGCAAAGGCGUGAGGCGUAUGGAAAGCUGCGGCAAGUACAGAAGUCCGUGAAGCCAGCUUCCAAGAAAAGCUUCUAGUGAUAAUCAUACAGUAACCCGUACCGAAAAUGGACACACAUGGGUGAGGAGAGAAUCCUAAGGUGAGCGAGAGAACUAUAGCUAAGGAACUCUGCAAAAUGACUCCGUAACUUAGGGAUAAGGAGUGCUCAUAGAGAUAUGAGCCGCAGUGAAACGGCCCAAGCGACUGUUUACCAAAAACACAGCUCUAUGCUAAGUCGAAAGACGACGUAUAUGGGGUGACGCCUGCCCGGUGCUGGAAGGUUAAGAGGAUGUGUCAGCGCAAGCGAAGCAUUGAAUUGAAGCCCCAGUAAACGGCGGCCGUAACUAUAACGGUCCUAAGGUAGCGAAAUUCCUUGUCAGGUAAGUUCUGACCCGCACGAAUGGUGUAAUGAUUUGGGCACUGUCUCAACAGCCCGCCCGGCGAAAUUGUAGUACCGGUGAAGAUGCCGGUUUCCCGCGACAAGACGGAAAGACCCCAUGGAGCUUUACUGCAGCCUAAUAUUGGGUUUCGAUAUUACAUGUACAGGAUAUGUGGGAGACAUGGAAGCACGGGCGUCAGCCUGUGUGGAGUCAGCCUUGGGAUACCACACUUGUGAUAUUGGAAUUCUAACCUGCGGCCCUGAAUCGGGUCGGGGGACAUUGUUAGGCGGGCAGUUUGACUGGGGCGGUCGCCUCCAAAAGAGUAACGGAGGCGCUCAAAGGUUGGCUCAGCACGGACGGAAAUCGUGCAAUGAGUGUAAACGUAUAAGCCAGCCUAACUGCGAGACCGACGGGUCGAGCAGUAACGAAAGUUGGAGUUAGUGAUCCGGCGGUAUGUGAGUGGAAAUGCCGUCGCUCAACGGAUAAAAGCUACCCUGGGGAUAACAGGCUGAUCUCCCCCAAGAGUUCACAUCGACGGGGAGGUUUGGCACCUCGAUGUCGGCUCAUCGCAUCCUGGAGCUGAAGUCGGUUCCAAGGGUUGGGCUGUUCGCCCAUUAAAGCGGUACGCGAGCUGGGUUCAGAACGU
rnacentral:rRNA from 1 species